rnacentral:rRNA from 1 species
UACGUAGGGUGCGAGCGUUGUCCGGAAUUAUUGGGCGUAAAGAGCUUGUAGGCGGUUUGUCGCGUCUGCUGUGAAAAUCCGGGGCUCAACCCCGGACUUGCAGUGGGUACGGGCAGACUAGAGUGUGGUAGGGGAGACUGGAAUUCCUGGUGUAGCGGUGAAAUGCGCAGAUAUCAGGAGGAACACCGAUGGCGAAGGCAGGUCUCUGGGCCACUACUGACGCUGAGAAGCGAAAGCAUGGGGAGCGAACAGGAUUAGAUACCCCGUCGUAGUCCG